GAUUUCUGGCUCGGAGCGCACGGCCCACCCGGAAACGGUGUGUGUUGCUGGCGCGCUCCGGCCAUCCUUCUGGAAAACGUCUCUGCCCUUUACUGGGUUGGGGGCGCGAUCCAGAUCGUUUACUUUGAAAAAAUUAGAGUGUUCAAAGCAGGCUUUACGCUGUGAAUACAUUAGCAUGGAAUAAUAAGAUAGGGCUUUGGUACUAUUUUGUUGGUUUCUAGGACCAAAGUAAUGAUUGAUAGGGACAGUUGGGGGUGCUAGUAUUCAAUGGCCAGAGGUGAAAUUCUCGGAUUCAUUGAAGACUAACCAAUGCGAAAGCAUU
rnacentral:rRNA from 1 species